rnacentral:rRNA from 1 species
AUUGAACGCUGGCGGCAGGCCUAACACAUGCAAGUCGAACGAGCGGCGGACGGGUGAGUAAUGUCUGGGAAUCUGCCCGAUGGAGGGGGAUAACUACUGGAAACGGUAGCUAAUACCGCCUACUAUCAGAUGUGCCCAUAUGGGAUUAGCUUGUUGGUGGGGUAAAGGCUCACCAAGGCGACGAUCCCUAGCUGGUCUGAGAGGAUGACCAGCAACACUGGAACUGAGAAACGGGCCAGACUCCUACGGGAGGCAGAAGUGGGGAAUAUUGCACAAUGGGCGCAAGCCUGAUGCAGCCAUGCCGCGUGUAUGAAGAAGGCCUUAGGGUUGUAAAGUACUUGCAGCGGGGAGGCGUUACCCGCAGAAGAAGCACCGGCUAACUCCGUGCCAGCAGCCGCGGUAAUUC